GGAGAUUCUCAACCAUCGGUUUAAUGUGGUAAUCAACAAAUGUAUAAAUGUUUAAUGUCACAGAGUUGAUUGCUGAUACAAUGGGUCUACCUGAAGGAGGAGGAGACACUUGUUUGUGUAAUUUAGCAACUGUAUAGAAAGUUGGUAUCUUGGGAAAUUUCACACAUAGAAAUUCAACUUCUUUUUUGGUGAUUUGUCCUGAUUCCAAACAGCUUUCCACUGUGGACAAGAUAUUAUGCUGGAAUUCUAGGGUCACAAUUCAGUUUGCGAUAGAAGUUACCUUUAGAUAAUUGUCGGCGACAUUCAUUCACAUAGUUGCACUUGUUUUGUACAAAUUCCUCCUCCUUUGUAACAUUUAUUUUAUGAUAAUGGAAGGAUCUGACUUUCAGUCCUUAAGAGCCAUUCUCUCGUCUCUACUCAGGUUAUCAGAGGAUUUGUGUUUCUGUUUAUCUUUCAGUAGGUCACAUACAUCAUUUUCAACAAUCCUGCAGAAGGUUUCUAUGGGGGCAUUGCGUUUGGGGGGAGGUACAAAUUAACUUUUUGCUCUAAAUGUUGUUCUCUCAGAGUUCUCAGGUACCUCAGCUGGGUUAAUGGCUUCAUCUCCUCCUUGACUCAAGGUAGGACAGGUAAGUCUAUUGAUUAGCAUGAUAGACCAAUGUACAUCUCACUGAGGAUGACAUUUCAAGUGGAGUCAUGAAGUUUCACUCUUAUCAAAGAACUCACACAAUCUCAGAUUAUGAAGAAACUUAAAUAGAUCGAUCUGGACAUUAAUGUAUGCAGUGGGUACAAACUAUAACCACUUAUUGAGAACACGAAGGUGAGCUGAUGUCAGGGUCAUAACCCCUUAUUGAGAACACUGAGGUGAGCUGAUGUCAGGGUCAUAACCCCUUAUUGAGAACACUGAGGUGAGCUGAUGUCAGGGUCAUAACCCCUUAUUGAGAACACUGAGGUGAGCUGAUGUCAGGGUCAUAACCCCUUAUUCAGAACACUGAGGUGAUCUGAUGUCAGGGUCAUAACCCCUUAUUGAGAACACUGAAGUGAGCUGAGGUCAGGGUCAUAACCCCUUAUUGAGAACACUGAGGUGAGCUGAUGUCAGGGUCAUAACCCCUUAUUGAGAACACUGAGGUGAGCUGAUGUCAGGGUCUUACUUGAUAAGUUGAAGACAUGUAUCUCCUGUGGACUGGGGGCCCGUCCUGGGUCUCAAUCGGUAGGUGUCAUGGGGUGGUGGUGGAUAACUUCUUCCCACGACGUAUGCACCGAACCCUCUUACCUGCUGGGGGUGUUGGCCUCAACGUUGUCCAAUGUGUUUUUCUAAUUUAAAUAUGUUUUAUUUACUACAUCUCUUUAGUCACUGGGUCAAAGUUCAAAGGUCAAUAUCUAAAAUAAUAGACCACGUUAGUUAAAAUCUGUUUUAUUAUUUGGUUUAAUCAGCCCAGAAGAUACUGACAUGUUGAUGAGCAGAAACAAAUGAGUUGAAGUGACACAUGCAAUUGGUUACAAAAACAUAUUAUUAAGUACAUUUUCAACUGAUCAAUAAGGCACUUACAAUUAUAAAUCACACACAUCGACAAAGUACAAGAAAAGUACGAGUACACACAGAGAUGGCCAGAGAUGGAAAGGGAUCUUAGUCACAUUCAAAUGGGAUGACAAAUACAAUCUUAGACAAAUACAUCUAGCCUACCAUAAAUCACUUUUUCAAAACGUUGUUUACAGUUCAGUCAUUUAGCAGACGCUCUUAUCCAGAGCGAUUUACAAGAGCAAUUAGGGUUAAGUUCCUUGCUCAAGGGCACAUCGGCAGAUUUUUUCACAUUUGGCUUGGUUGGAGAUUCAAACCAGCGACCUUUCAGUUACUGGCCCAACAAUCUCAACAGCUAGGUUACCAGCCACCCCUUUCCAUCAACAAUGGACACAUGCAUUUUGGAAAAGUAUUUUAUUGCUAUGUAUAACAAAUGUACAAAUCAGUCAUUCAUUCAAUAGUUUUGUGUGACUGACAGAGAAGUGUUUGCUAAUUGUAGGAGUCAUGCUUCAGUAUCCCUCUAUACUUCCUGUUUCUUCAAGUUCAGAACCACCAUGAUAGAAGCAACAACAAAAACAGGGACAAAGACAUAAACCUUCCAUAGAUGUUGUUGAACGAACCGGUCUGUGGCCACCUUCAGUUUCACUCCAACAGCGAUUCCAAUGAUCAACGUCAAGAACCCAACAGUAACCACCAUCGGCUCACAAUCUGGCUUAUCAGCAGCUGUGACACAUACACACACUGAGUAUUAAUCAUUUAGAAUCUGCUGCAUUUAACAGCAUUCAGCAGAUCUGUCAUUUACUGAUACUUGAAAGAAUAAAAACAAAACAAGUGGUUAUAUUUUACUUUGGCAUCCCUGUCAGUUUUAUGUUCCCUAUUCUGUUGGACUACAAUAGUACAGUAUCACUACUGAACUGUCCUCUUCCAUAUGAUAGGGAAGCUGUUACACUACAAUAGUACAGUAUCUCUACUGAACUGUCCUCUUCUCUAUGAUAGGGAAGCUGUUACACUACCAUAGUAGAGUAUCACUACUGAACUGUCCUCUUCCAUAUCUAAGGGAAGUUUGGGUUUUAAUCAUCACGGUACAGCACUCACCUGAAGACAUCAUGUUGAUGUACUUUUCCUCUGUUGUUUAUCCUGAACUCAAUUCAACUCAAUGAAGAGGGUGUCUACAAUACAGCAUUGAAAUUAGACAAUGAAGUGAUGUUAUUUACUGGUUAAACAAUGAACAUAGAACACAACAAACAUAGAAAAUAGGACAGAAUGAACAUAGAACAGAAUAAACAUAGAACACAAAGAAGAAUAAACACAGAACAGAAGAGAAUUACCAUAGAACAGAAUAAACAUAGAACAGAAUAAACAUAGAACAUAGAACAGAAUAAACAUAGAACACAAAGAAGAAUAAACACAGAACAGAAGAGAAUUACCAUAGAACAGAAUAAACAUAGAACUUAGAACACAAAGAAGAAUAAACACAGAACAGAAUUAACAUAGAACAGAAUAAACAUAGAACUUAGAACACAAAGAAGAAUAAACACAGAACAGAAGAGAAUUACCAUAGAACAGAAUAAACAUAGAACAGAAUAAACAUAGAACAUAGAACACAAAGAAGAAUAAACACAGAACAGAAGAGAAUUACCAUAGAACAGAAUAAACAUAGAACAGAAUAAACAUAGAACAUAGAACAGAAUAAACAUAGAACUUAGAACACAAAGAAGAAUAAACACAGAACACAAGAGAAUUACCAUAGAACAGAAUAAACAUAGAACAGAAUAAACAUAGAACAUAGAACAGAAUAAACAUAGAACUUAGAACACAAAGAAGAAUAAACACAGAUAACAAGAGAAUUACCAUAGAACAGAAUAAACAUAGAACAUAGAACAGAAUAAACAUAGAACAGAAUAAACAUAGAAAAUAGUACAGAAAACUCAGAACAGAAUAAACAUAUAAUAGAAUAAACAUAGAAUAUAGAACAGAAUAAACAUAGAACAGAAUAAACAUAGAACAGAAUAAACACAGGGGCGUCAGGUAACCUAGUGGUUAGAGUGUUGGACUUGUAACCGAAAGCCUUUUGGACUGGGUCUGUAGACUUUUCCAUGUGAAUAUUAAAGUCACCAGAAAUUAGAAUAUUAUGUGCCAUGACUACAAGGUAUGAUUGGAAUUCAGGGAACUCAGUGAGGAACGCUGUAUAUGGCCCAGGAGGCCUGUAAACAGUAGCUAUAACAAGUGAUUGAGUAGGCUGCAUAGAUUUCUUGACUAGAAGCUCAAAAGACAAAAACAUUUAUUUUUUUUGUAAAUUGAAAUUUUCUAUCUUAAAUUUUAGCAACACCUCCACCUUUGCGGGACGCGCGGGGAUAUGGUCACUAGUGUAACCAGGAGGUGAGGCCUCAUUUAACACAGUAAAUUCAUCAGGCAUAAGCCAUGUUUCAGUCAGGCCAAUCACAUCAAGAUUAUGAUCAGUGAUUACUUCAACUGCCUUUGAAGUGAGGGAUCUAACAUUAAGUAGCCCUAUUUUGAGAUGUGAGGUAUCACAAUCUCUUUCAAUAAUGGCAGGAAUGGAGGAGGUCUUUAUUCCAGUGAGAUUGCUAAGGCGAACACCGACAUGUUUAGUUUUGCCCAACCUAGGUCGAGGCACAGACACAGUCUCAAUGGGCUGACUGAGCUGAGCUGACUACACUGACUGUGCUAGUGGCAGACUCCACUUAGCUGGCAGGCUGGCUAACAGCCUGCUGCCUGGCCUGCAUCCUAUCUCAUUGUGGAGCUUGGGGAGUUAGAGCCCUGUCUAUGUUCAUAGAUAAGAUGAGAGCACCCCUUCAGCUAGGAUGGAAUCCGUCACUCCUCAACGGGCCAGGCUUGGUCCUGUUUGUGGGUGAGUCCCAGAAAGAGGGGCAAUUAUCUACAAAUUCUAUCUUUUGGUAGGGGCAGAAAACAGUUUUCAACCAGCGAUUGAGUUGUGAGACUCUGCUGUAGAGCUCAUCCCUCCCCCUAACUGGGAGGGGGCCAGAGACAAUUACUCGAUGCCGACACAUCUUUUUAGCUGAUUUACACGCUGAAGCUAUGUUGCGCUUGGUGACCUCUGACUGUUCCAUCCUAACAUCGUUGGUGCUGACGUGGAUAACAAUAUCCCUAUACUCUACACUCUCCAGUUUUAGCUUUAGCCAGCACCAUCUUCAGAUUAGCCUUUACGUCGGUAGCCCUUCCCCCUGGUAAACAGUGUACGAUCGCUGGAUGAUUCUUUUUAAGUCUAAUACUGCGGGUAAUGGAGUCACCAAUGACUAGGGUUUUCAAUUUGUCAGAGCUAAUGGUGGGAGGCUUCGGCGUCUCAGACCCCAUAACAGGAGGAGCAGAGACCAGAGAAGGCUCGGCCUCUGACUCCGA
rnacentral:lncRNA from 1 species